UAGUGCUUGGCUACUACAUGCAUGAAGCUUGGGGUGGAAACUCUAACGAAUUGACGGGCUGCCUCCCGUAGGAGUAUAAUACCUGGGAUUCCUCCCGGAACCUUCAGAAUACCCACCGGCUAACUACGUGCCAGCAGCCGCGGUAAUACGUAGGGUGCGAGCGUUAAUCGGAAUUACUGGGCGUAAAGCGUGCGCAGGCGGUUUUGUAAGUCAGAUGUGAAAGCCCCGGGCUCAACCUGGGAACUGCGUUUGAAACUACAAGGCUAGAGUGUAUCAGAGGGGGGUAUAAUUCCACGUGUACCAGUGACAUGCGUAGAGAUGUGGAGGACUACCGAUGGCGAAGGCAGCCCCCUGGGUUAACACUGACGCUCAUGUACCAAAGCGUGGGGCCCCCACACGAUUAGAUACCCUGGUAUUCCACGCCCUAUACGAUGUCACCUAGUUGUCGCGAGACGAGACUUUCUUGCUAACGCACUAACCCGUGCAGUUGACCGCCGCGGCGUACGGCCGCCGGUUAAAACUCAAA
rnacentral:rRNA from 1 species